rnacentral:rRNA from 1 species
CAUAUCAAUAAGCGGAGGAAAAGAAACUAACAAGGAUUCCCCUAGUAACUGCGAGUGAAGCGGGAAAAGCUCAAAUUUAAAAUCUGGUGGUCUUUGGCCAUCCGAGUUGUAAUCUAGAGAAGUGUUAUCCGUGCUGGACCGUGUACAAGUCUCCUGGAAUGGAGCGUCAUAGAGGGUGAGAAUCCCGUCUUUGACACGGACUACCAGUGCUUUGUGAUAYGCUCUCAAAGAGUCGAGUUGUUUGGGAAUGCAGCUCAAAAUGGGUGGUAAAUUCCAUCUAAAGCUAAAUAUUGGCGAGAGACCGAUAGCGAACAAGUACCGUGAGGGAAAGAUGAAAAGAACUUUGGAAAGAGAGUUAAACAGUACGUGAAAUUGCUGAAAGGGAAACGCUUGAAGUCAGUCGCAUUGUCUAGGAAUCAACCUUGCUUUUGCUGGGCGUACUUUCUAGUUAAUGGGUCAGCAUCAAUUUUGAUUGUUGGAUAAAGUCUGGGAGAAUGUGGCAUCUUUGGAUGUGUUAUAACUUCUAGUUGCAUACAAUGGUUGGGAUUGAGGAACUCAGCACGCCCGCAAGGGUCGGGUACUUGUACCACGUUCGUGCUUAGGAUGCUGGCAUAAUGGCUUUAAUCGACCCGUCUUGAAACACGGACCAAGGAGUCUAACAUGCCUGCGAGUAUUUGGGUGGUAAACCCGAGUGCGUAAUGAAAGUGAAAGUUGAGAUCCCUGUCAUGGGGAGCAUCGACGCCCGGACUAGACCUUUUGUGAUGGAUCUGCGGUAGAGCAUGUAUGUUGGGACCCGAAAGAUGGUGAACUAUGCCUGAAUAGGGUGAAGCCAGAGGAAACUCUGGUGGAGGCUCGUAGCGAUUCUGACGUGCAAAUCGAUCGUCAAAUUUGGGUAUAGGGGCGAAAGACUAAU